rnacentral:lncRNA from 1 species
UCUCUCUUCCUACUACCAAAAUUGUUACUUAUAUUAUUGAUAUGCAAAAAAUUGCAAUUUAUAAUUUUUUUCAUAUAGUCUUUGAAUAUUUAAUUUUUUUUGUUUAAAAUAUCAAAUUAACGUAAUCUUAUUUCACUUUGAAAAUUUGUUGAAUUAACUUUCAAAAAGCGCAACACGACAAUUAAAAGUGGAUAGACGGAGUACCAUUCAACAUAUUUAUGUCAAAUUAAUAAAGUAUACGGAAAAGCGCCAAAAAUAACCUUAGACUAUUUGAAAAGGUUUAAAUAUACCCUUCAUUCAUUUAUUUGACUAAAAAUAUCCCUCAAUACACUUUUUUGGCCUAUUUUUACCCUUAAAACUUGAUAGAUUUUUUAAAGUUAUUAUUAUUACUAUUAUUUAUAAUAUGCCAUAUAAGCAAUUUUAGCUAAAAGUUUACACAACCACUACAAAAAUAUCACGAGACAUACACAGCUCUUUUUGGAGAAAAAAAAUGUGUGGAAGAAGAAAAAGGCUCCUUACAUAAUGAUUACUAAAUAAUUUUUCUCCUAUUUGAGAUUUGGAAGAAAAAAAAAGGGUUCCUUUUCCUAAUUUUAUGCGGUCACAUAUAUACGAUUUAAGUAGAAUUUUCACAAUUUUCUAAUUUGACACUCUCUUUUUUUCGUUUUUGACUUCCUACUUCAACUAGGAUGGUGAAAACCUAAUGCUCUAUAAAUUGAGGCCUUUAAACUUCUUAGACAUUAUAAUUAUUCAAAUCUCGUUUCGAUAAUAUUCUCAACAAAAACAAAUUAACAUCUCUUAUUCAAAUAUAUUUUUACCAUGUCUUCUUCAACAAAGUUCUUAACUCUAAAGACAUGUGAUGGUGAGGAAUUUAUAAUCGACGAGGCAAUAGCCGUGAGGUCACAAACUAUCAAGAAUAUGGUUGAAGACGAUUGUGUUUCAAACGUCAUUCCCCUGCCUAAUGUCGAUAGCAAAACAACGACCAAAGUGAUUGAUUACUCGAAGAAACAUUCGGAGGAAGACGUCUCCAAAGACAUGUUGAUGGAGUUUGACAAGACUUUUGUGAAGGUGCACCACUCGAUUAUGCAUGCUCUUAUCUUAGCUGCUAAUUUUCUUAACGAUAAGGAGAUAUUGGAUAUGAUGUGUCAAGAAGUUGCUGAUAGGAUUAAAAGGAAAACACCAGAAGAAAUACGUAAAGAAUUUGAUAUCUAGAACGAUUUUACUCCCGAGGAAGAAGAGGAGAUUCAUAAAGAGAAUGCUUGGGCUUUUGAAUGAUUUUAUAGCAUUAUUGUUCUUUUUUGUUCUCUUUUUAUUUUAGAAUUAAAACGAUCUAGUUAGCUUUAUCCUAUUUUAUUUUAUUUAGUUCUUUAUUUUGUUGUUCAUUUUUAUAGACAUGUUCUUUGAUUUUGAUUGAUUUAUAAAUUAUGUUGGAAAGAAAUUACUGUUAUUUAUACAAACAACUUAGUGAUUGAAAAUCUAUAGAGUCCAACUAUUGAACUUAUAAGCAAACAAAUUAUUUGAUUAUGCUAGAAAAAUCAAUAAAAUAUCUAUUAGCUAAAAUUUUACCUAACCACUAAAUUAAUAGUUCUUGCUCUCUCACUGUUACAAGAAAAUUAAAUGGAAUAUUGAUUCAAGAUUCUAAUUGCAAAAAAAUAAAAUGCUUUCGAAGGAUUUUUUUUUAAAAAUAAUUAAGAAAUAAAUAUUGAGAUACUCAAACAAGAUAGAAAUAAUCUAUCUCAAUACCAAUAAUAAAAUAAAAUAAAAUAAUAGAGUAUAAACCACAUAUAUGUAUUAUUAAUUAAAAUAUAUGGAGAUUUGUGUAUGUGGCAUUAUCUGAAAGGGAAAAAAAAGUGUGUAUAUAUAUAUAAAAUAAGAUUUUGAAUCCUUUAACAUGGACUCUUCCUGUUCUUCAUCAACCUUUAACAUAAUCUCUACAAUUUAAUUUUUUAGUCCAUAAAUUAAAUUGGUGGUUUGUCAACUUUUGUUACUAUAAUUUUCCUUUUAAACUUUUCAUCAAUUAGUUCUAAAGAAGGAAAAUAAAAACUACCUUUUUCUAAUCUUAUACCGUUCACAUACGGUUUAUGUGUAGUUUCCAAAUUAACUUGAGCUUUCAUUAUUGUAUGAUAUAAUUUCCUAAUCUGACAUGGUUUAUGAAAAAUCGAGUUUAAUUCUGGUGUUCUUUUUUAAUUUUUUCCUUUUGACUUUCUAUUUUAAACAGGAUGGUGAAAACCUAUUGCUCAAGAGUAAAGACAAAGCAAGAAUCUAAGGACCAAAGUCAAUAAGGCAGGAACCGAAGCACAAAUGAGCAAGAAUCUAAAGGCGAGUACAACUAAUAAGACAAGAAUGAUAUCACUAAAGGCUGAGAGAACUAUACACAAGAAUUGCUAGGGCAGGAAUCAAAGCACAACCAAGCAAGAAUCUAAAGGCAAGAAUGUCUAAUAAGACAAGAAUGAUUUCACCCGGAUAAUGACCCUAGAUAUUUGAAACUUCCUCUCUUGGGGAUGACAUGUUUAUCAAACCUUAGUUCUAUGCCAACCUCGCGUGUCUCAUCACUGAACUUGCACUAUAAGCACUCCGUUUGGGUCCCACUCAACCCGAACCCUUUAGACUUUAGAAUUCGUGUCCAAACUUCCAGCCUAGCGUUAACUCCACCGCGAGUCUCAUCAAUCAGUACUAUGUCAUUUGCAAAUAACAUUCACCAUGACACCUCUCCUUGGAUAUAACACGUCAACUCAUCCAACACCAAGGCAAAUAGAAACGGGCUAAGAGCGGAUCCCUGGUGCAACCCCAUUAUGACUUAGAAGUGUUCUAAGAGGAUGUUUGGAUUGGCUUAAAAAUUUGUCAAACUUACUUUUAAGUCAGUUUUCAACUUCUGGAAGUGUUUGAAAAAUAUAUAAAUAACUUAAAGUAAGUCAAAAAUAAAUGACUUAAAAUAAGUUAAGAAGUGUUUGGCAAGGUAAAGAAUAACUUAAAAUAAGUCAAAAAUCAAAAGUAGGUCUCCCCCUACUUUUUAUUUUUUGACUUAAAAGUCAAUUAAGUUUGACUUGAAAACUAUUUUUUUUAAGCCAAUCCAAAUGGGCUCUAAGUCUUCUCCCACUGUUCGUACCGGCUCUCGGUUCCAUUGUACAUGUCCCGAAUCACUCCAUUGUAUAAGCCUUCUAACCUCCAAACACCUCCAUAGAACCUCUCUUUGGACUUUAUUAUAAGCCUUUUCUAGGUCAAUGAACACCAUAUGUAAGGCCUUAUCCAAAUGAGCCCAUUAACUCUAGAAAAGGCAAAACCUGAACUUUUUCAUGUAAGAAACUAAGGUGCCUAUGAUGCCAAGCAUAAUAAGAACUGUUGACUAUACUCUUCCAGAUGUCACAGCUUACGGUCCCAGUUAAGAGCCAUUUGAUUGCUUGAUAUGCAUUGACAUGUAUGUGCAUAAGAUUUAGAAAGGAAAACCACUUCUCUUUAUAUGUUUAGAAUAUUACUAGCUUCUUUCUUUGUGUGAUGUCAAGGAGCAAUUCUCACAUUAACUUCUUUUGUAGGAUUUCUUCCCUUUGUGGCGUCAGUUCCUUGUUUACGAAUAAAAAAGGAUUGAUAUAUACUGUUCAUAGGUAAAAUUCAUCUGUUCUAGAAUAGUUUUUACAUGGUAGGGCAUAUUUACAUUUUCAAGUUGUUUUGGUGAAGUUACUCUCUUAGUCAUUUUUAUUUUCAAGAACUGCAAUUGUUUUUUGUAAAGUCAUUUCUGUUACUAGUGGAUUCUGUCCAAGAACGAGUAGUUGUGCAUAUCUUCUUAUCCCAUUAAAUUACAAUGCAAACACCGGUCUCUGCAGGUUUCGAGUUGAAAACAAAGCUACGUAAGUGUGGUACCUAUACUCUACAUACUUGAGAUAUGAUGUUGUAGGGAAAUAGUGUUUAAUUUGGAUAUCUAAAGAUGCACGUACUCUUCCUCUAUGAGCGAGACUCCAUCCAAAUCUUCCACUCCUUGGGCGAGGCCUUUUGUUCUAUGAACACCCCAACACUGAAUAAUUCACUUUCAAGUUCUCGCUGUAAGUACCUGGCCGUAAUAUUAGGAAAAAAAACUUUUAUUAAGAAGAGGUAAUAAAGGGCAUAAAUUGAUAAUCAACUGUAGUAGACUGAAGCAACUGUAAUUGUUUAAUGUGUAAAUUUUCUAGAGUUCAUUAUGCAAGCUUAAUUUUUUUCAUAGAGUUAAGUCAUCUGGAGUACUUUUAUGUUACCUUCUCAAAAAAGUCAUCUGGAGUUUUGUUUUGCACUGUUUUAGGUUUGAUGGUGUAAGUUUCUCACAGUUGACAAUGAUAAAAACCAUGAGCUUGUACUAAGUUUGAUGCAUUUUGCUUAAAACCUUGUUAACUGAAUGUUAAGGCCCAAAAUAUGAAAUUUCAAUACUAUGCCUGAAAGUCACAAAAAUGAAUGUGAAAAUGCUCUCAGGCACAGUUAUCGAGGUCAAAAAAGACUACUUUCUUUUCCAGCCAUUUUUAAAGUUUCUGGCGUCUUUACAUUAAUUACAUUCAUCAGUGAUUACUACAAAAAUUGGUAAUAGGAGAUACUGUGCUUUGUUUUACCGGAUCUACUUGUGGAAUUAGUAUUGUUAGUCUUUAAAAUCAAAUUAAGGAAAUCAGCUAGUCUUAAUUUCCCACUUAUUUAGGGUAAAAAAUAAAAUAAAAUAGUGGAACACAACUUUUCACACCAUAGUUAGAUAUUACGGAAAAAAGUAAUUUUUCUCCUAAUUGAGAUUUGGAAAAAAAAAAACCUUCCUUUUCCUAAUUAUAUUCGGUCACAUACGUAUAGUUUAGGUAAAAUUUUCACAAUUUCCUAAUUUGACAUGAACUCUCUUUUUUUCCUAAUUUGACAUGAACUUUUUUUUUUUUUUUCGUUUUGACUUCCUACUUGAACUAGAACUGUGAAAACCUAAUGCUCUAUAAAUUAAGCCCUUCAAACCUCUCAUACAUUAUAAUCCCUCAAAUCUCCUUUCAAUAAUAUUCUCAACAAAACCAAAUUAACAUCUUUUCAAAUAUAUAUUGACCAUCAUGUCUUCUUCCACAAAGCUCUUAACUUUAAAGACUUGUGAUGGUAAGGAAUUUGUACUCGAUGAGGCGAUAGCUGUGAGGUCACAAACUAUCAAGAAUAUGGUUGAAGACGAUUGUGUUUCAAACGUCAUUCCCCUGCCUAAUGUCAAUAGCAAAACAAUGACCAAAGUGAUUGAAUACUGGAAGAAACAUUCGGAGGAAGACGUCUCCAAAGACAUGUUGAUGGAGUUUGACAAGGCUUUUGUGAAGGUGCACCACUCGAUUUUGCAUGCUCUUAUCUUAACUGCUAAUUUUCUUAACGAUAAGGAGAUAUUGGAUAUGAUGUGUGAAGAAGUUGCUGAUAGGAUUAAAGGGAAAACACCAGAAGAAAUACGUAAAGAAUUUGAUAUCAAGAACGAUUUUACUCCAGAGGAGGAAGAGGAGAUCCGUAAAGAGAAUGCUUGGGCUUUUGAAUGAUUUAAUAACAUUACUGUUAUUUUUUUGUUAUUUUUUUAAUUUUAGAAUUAAAACAGUCUAGUUAGCUAUAUCUUGUUUUAUUUUAUUUAGUUCUACAUUCUGAUGUUUAUUUUUAUAUAAUUGUUCUUUGAUUUUUGAUUGAUUUAUAAAUUAGAUUGAAAAGAAAUUAUAGCUAUUUAUACAAACAACUUAGUGAUUGAAAAUAUAGUCUAACUAUUUAACUUAUAAGCAAACAAAUUAUUGAUUAUGCUAUAAAAAACAAAUAAAAUAUCUAUUAGCUAAAAUUUUACCUAACCACUAAAUUAAUAGCUCUUGCUCUCUCACUGUUACGAGAAAAUUAAAUUGAAUAUUGAUUCAAGAUUCAAAUUGCAAAAAAAAUGUUGUUGAUGGAUUUUUUUUAAAAGAUAAUUAAGAAAUAAAUAUUGAGAUACUCAAAAAAAUAAAUUAAAAAAUAAAUACUGAGAUAAUCAAACAGGAUAGAAAUAAUCUAUCUCAAUCCCAAUUAUAAAAUAAAAUAUUAGAGUAUAAACCACAUAUAUGUGGCAUUAUCUGAAAGAAGAAAAAAAAAGGUAAGUAUAUAUAAAAAUAAAAUGAAGAAGAUUUUGAAUUCUAGACGAUGAUGAUGAUGGAAUUCUCCCUUAUAAUGCGUAAGGCUUUCUUUUUUUUUAAUUCAUUUGUAAAUUUUUAAAAGUUUUCAAAAAUUUAAAUAAAGCCUUAAACGAAAAAUUACUCUCUUUUUUUUAGUUUUAUCGACUUAAAUUAAAUAUAUGUAGAAUAUAUCAAAAUAAUUAUUUAAUCUUAUUUUCUUAAACACUUUAUGUGAAAAAUUAAAGUUAAAGAAAUGCUAAAAAGUUAAAAGUCAUCUUUUAUACGUGAGAUUGAUCGAAAAAUGGGAUACUUUUACCACUUUUAAAUUAGUCAAGAAGAUAUUAGGAUCUUUGCUAAAUUUCAGUAUCUUUUAAGAAAUGUGUUAUAAUUGAAUGGGGUAAUGAUGUAUUUUUCUCUCUAAAUUAUAAGACCUAGAAUAGUCUCUCCACUUAUAUCGUUCAUGUUGGGAUGACAAUUAACAUACAAACAAAAUAAUAGGGAAACUGCAUCAAUUUCCCCUUGAACUUGUCCCGAAAAGUCAGUUACACGCUUAAAUUAUCAUAGUGACCUAUUACACACUUAUACUACUCAAAAGUAAAUUUUCUUACCCCCUAAAACUGACAUGGCAAAAAAAUAAAACAAAAAUAAAAAAUAGGUGUGCCAGUUUGAAAUUAAAGUGAAAAAAAAAAGUUAGAAUCUUUUUUUCCACCCCCACCCCCACACCUCUUCUUCUUCACACCCCACCCAUUGUCCUCUUUUUCUUCAUUCUCUAUUUUCAUCACACUUCUUUAAUUUUUUUAUCACAAUCUUAAAGCACAACUGUUUUUUAUUCGCAAUAAGGUUAAUUCUCAUAGAUUUGUUAGUUUAUAAUUGUAUUUUAUCUAGAAAAGUUUCGAUUGAUUGUUUCUAUCUUUGUCAUUUUUUUGACUUUGUUAAAGAAAUCUUUGUUGUUGAUCAAUUUUUGGGUUUAGUGGUGAUAGCAACUUUAUGGGUUUGGUGGUGAUGGGUGGUGGGUGACAAAAAUUUAAGAGGUAAUUGAAGAUGGUGAUGAAGAAAAAAUCGAUAUUAAUAAUGGUGGUGGUGAUAUUUGGUGUUGGGUGACAGAGAAGAAGAAGAAUUGAAGGUGAUAUAGUAGUGGUGAAGAACAAAAUCAAUAGUGAAGGUGGUCGAAUAUGAUUUUUCCGAUGAAAUGAGAAUUGAAAUGGGUGUGAUUUAGUGAUGAAGAAGAUAUAAUUAUUAGAGAAUUAAAGUAAUUAAUUAGGAAUUAAUUAGAGUAAAUAUAGUUAACAAAAGAAAAUUUAAUUAAUAAAGAAAAGAAAAGAAUUUUUUUAUAAUUUAUGACAUGGCGCUGAUGUGGCAAGUGUAAUACACCACAUAAUGUGAGAGUGGUAUUACACGUCUCAGGGUGGUGAUAAAUUCAUUUUUCAGUAUUAAAGGUGUGUAAUAGGUCAUUGUAAUAGUUUAAGCGUGUAGCUGACUUUUCGAGACAAGUUCAGGGAGAAAUCUAUGCCUUUUCCCCAAAAUAAUAUGAUGAAUGUUACUUCCUCCGUCUCAUAUUAAAUAUUAAACUUUUCUCUUUACAUAUCUUUAUAAAAAAAAUCAUAAAUAAGAAAGUUAGUUUUAUUAAUUUACCUUUCAAGAAAUUUGUUGGAGACUUUACAAACUUGUUUACCCUUUCGAAAAGAAUUAAUUGUCAGAGUAAAAUGGGAGAAAUUUAAUUAAUUUAUCUUAAUAAGUAAUUUAGGACAACUAUUUUUAAUAAUGUGGACAAGUAUACUAGAAAAAUACUAGAUUAAUUAAUUAUUUUAAUUUUUUCUUUACUUUUGUUGGAAAUGUAGUCAGAACGAUUUUAACUAUUAGAAAUGAGUGGUCUUCUAGUUAAUGAUUAAAGAAACGAUGAGUUUAGAACUUUCCUUGUAACUUUUAAGGCAUAAUACAUAAAUAUGCCCUUUAACUUGACUUCAAAUCACAUUUAUGUUCUUCAACUUUGGGUAUGCACAAGUAGACACUUAAAUUUGUAUAAAGUUGAACAAAUAGACACGCAUGUCCUACAUGUCAUUUUUUAUCCUACGUGGUGUCCUACGUGUAUUGUUUUAUGUAGGACAAAUGUGUCUACUUGUUUAACUUUAUACAAGUUUAAGUGUCUACUUGUGCAUACCCAAAGUUGAAGGACAUAAACAUAAAAUGAGGCCAAGUUAAAGGGCACAUUUAUGUAUUAUGCCAACUUUUAAUCAUAUCAAUAUCCUAAUAAUCUAAGAUUGACUAUGUAGAUUUUGUAAAACAAAUUAAUUGACCUUCAAAAAAGGAAAAAUAAUAAGUUUUGAUCUAUUUAAUAUUUUGCUUUUCAUAUUCCUAUAAGAACUUUGGAAAGUAAUUAAAACCUAAUACAUUAUAAAAGACCAAGCUAGCCUAUGUAUUGAAAUCAUUCAUUCAUAGCUCUCUUCAUUUUCUUUAUGAUGUCUUUAGGAAAGCUCAUAACUCUUAAGACUAACGAUAAUGAGGAAUUCAAACUCGACAAGACUGUAGCUAUAAAGUCAGAAAUCAUCAAGAACAUAGUACAAGACGUUGAUUGUACUUCUAAUGUCAUCCCCUUGCUCAAUAUUGAUGGCAAAACAAUGACAAAGGUGGUUAAAUAUUGGAAGAAACAUUCAGAGGAAGGUGUUACAGAAGUCCAGUUAAAGAAUUUUGAUCAGGAUUUCUUGAAGAUGAGUCACUCAGAAUUACAUGACGUUCACUUGGCUGCUAAAUAUCUUGAUGAUAACCAAUUAAAGGAGGUAAUAAUCCAAGAAUUUUUUGAUAGGAUCAAAGGGAAACCAAUAGAGGAAAUACGUGAAGUAUUUGGUAUCGUGAAUGAUUAUACCCCAGAGGAAGAGGAGGAGGUCCGUAGAGAGAAUGCUUGGGCUUUUGAAUGAUUUUAUAAUAUUUAUGUUAUUUCCUUAGCUAUAUCCUAUUUUUAUUUUAUUUCUGUUAGUUCUAUCUUUUGAUGUUCCUUUUUGAAGGAAAUGUUGUUCGAUUUUGAUUGAUUUAUAAAUUAUGUUGGAAAGAAACUAAAGCUAGUUAUAUUGUUUGAGAUUUUUUUUUAUCCUUUUAGAUUUACUAUUCACUCAAAUCUUCUCUAAAUAAUCCUAAAUUAUAUAUAUGGACAACUUUCGAUGUUUUAAUUCUUUUAAUAUAUUGUAUAUUCACUAUAAAUGACUAAUUCACAUUUGCGACAGAUCAAAUUUUGAAUUUGAGGUUCAAAAUAUUUUAAUGACAGAUUUCAAUGGACAUUCGAUUUAAAUCUCCACUAAACAAUCCUAAAAUUUAGAUUACAUGAUCUCCUCUCAAUAUUUCUAUUCUUUUAGAUACAUUAUUCACUCAAAAUAAUUCAUAUGUGUGGCGAUAUCAAAUUUUAUUAUUUGAACUUACCCAAGUGUCGGAGAAGAUAUGAGUAGACAUAGACAUAAUUAGGUAAUGAUCAAAUGAUCUUUCUAUUGAUUACUUAAUGAUCAAGUAUAGAUUCUUGGUAAUUAACAGAUUGGAUUAUUUUUUAUUAGAACAUUUGACUAAAUGGUCAUUCUAUUUAAUUAUUCAAAUUUACUAUGAUUAGUAAUAACAUACCAUUUAAUUUAAAAUAUAAAAUUUAAAUUUGAAUUGCAAUACAAUCUUUUGUUGUUGAAAGAUAAUAAUAUAUAACUUUUACGUUUCACCUCUAAAUUAUAAGACCUAGAAUACUUUCUCCACUUAAAUCGUUCAUGUUGUGAGGAUAAUUAACAUUAACAUACAAAUAAAAAUGAUAUGACCAAUCGUCUCAUAUUAAAUAUUAGACUUUUCUCUUUUAAAAUAAAUCAUAAAUAAGAAAAUUUAUUUUACUAAUAUACCCUUUAAGAAACUUGCUUACAACUUUACAAACUCGUAUACUCUUUUUUAAAGAAUUAAUUGUAAGAUUAAAACGGGGAAUUGUGAAAGAUCUCUCUUCUUUAAAUCUUCCGCUCUCUGUCUUUUUUCACUCCCCAAUUUCUUCUCUCCGCUUUUACCGUAAGUUCGCUAUAUCUCAUCCUCUUUGAUUUCCUUUCUGUGAUUUCUAUUCAAUUUGCUUCAUCUUGAUUUUGAUUUGCAUUUUUCUUCAAUUACUUUGAAACCAGGUUUUUCUGGAGUUGCAGAUUUUGAUUUUGUGUGAUAUUUUCGUUUCUCAAUGCACAAUUCAUUUGUCUUGAUAUCUCUCUUGGCACUAUCAAAAUUGUUACUUAUAUACUUUCAUGGCUCAUCAAUGAUUUAACUAACAAUUUGAUUGUUUGGUUUUGAAUUUGACACUAAGUUUAAGAAAAUAAAGAGAUUUUUUAAUGUUGUGGCAAACUAAAGAUAUGUACGAAAAUGUCAUUUAAUCUUGUGUAUGGGAAGUUUCAAAAAGGAACUUGAAACUAAAUAGGAAAAUAACACAAACAAAUAGAAGUGGAGGGGUACAGGUUUUUGUUAAUUUUUCAUCUUUUGCGAGUUACAGUCUCAUUAGUGGAUAAAGCUUAAAAUUUAAGAUGUGGCUUUAUUCCUCUUACUGGAUAGGUUAAGAUUAAGAGUUAUUGGAAUUUUAGUGCAUGGGAAAAUUGUGAUUUCUUUUAAGUCAUGUGAAAACUCUUUAUCAGCAGCACCACUUUCUGGCUGGUAUAUUCUUGAAUUUUAUUUUUCUUGGGAAGUUGGCAAGAAUGUUCAUCAUUAACUUAAUCCUUGCAGAGGAAACCAUUUCACUCGCAAGUAGCUCCAACUUACUACUCUAACAAGGUUAAGGGUUAUUUUACUCGUUAUAUGGCUUCCUCAACGGUUGGCGCACAACCAUCAUUCUCAACACUAGCAAUAUCAACCAACGAACCUGUUGUUUCAGUUGACUGGCUCCAUGCAAACAUCAGAGACCCCGACUUAAAGGUUUCUGAUCUUUUCAGUCUUAGCAGUCAAAAUACUUGGUAAAGAAUAAGAUGGUGAUAGUAUGGCCGUUACUACAAUUGUCUAAACUACAUUUGCUGCUCUAAAUAUUAAAUCUGAAGUUGCAAUUAUUUGUUCACUCAACUCAUGCCUAUAAAAAGGACAAUUCUUUUGCGUUUCUGUUCAUUUCUAUUUAGCAACACAUUUACGCGUGUUUUCUUUCUCUUCCAAUUUUUGGGUGUGGUGCUGGUUGUAUUAUGUAAGGCAUCUGUCAAAUAGUACUGUGAUGUUGCUUCUUUUUCCUAUUCUUCUAAAGGUGUUAGAUGCAUCUUGGUACAUGCCAGAUGAGCAGAGAAAUCCACUCCAGGAGUAUCAGGUGCUGACUCCUAAGAAAUUCUUUUUUGAAUGACACUGCUUUAUCUUGAAUCACUGAUUGCUUUCUAGUAAAUAUGUUCACAGAUAAGCAAUUUUCAUUUUCUCAGUCACAUUUAUGGUAAUUUUGUUCAACAGUCACUUUCUUUCUGUUUUCUGGUAGAAUUUUCUAACUUCGACUUGAGCAGGUCUCUUGCAUUCCUGGAGCACUAUUCUUUGAUAUAGACGGAAUAACGGAUCGAACUACAAAUGUGAGAUAUCUUCCCUGCUAAGUUAUUUCUCCUCUGGAAAGAGUGAUUUGCUCGACAUAAUCUUUGCAAUUACUAAACCUUCUCUGGUUUCAGUUUCUCUUCUACUGUACCAUUUUUUGUUUCAUUUUUGUCCCAUAUAUGUUUCUACCUAUACUGUAAUAGAUGCUUCAGUUAGCCAUCCGGCAUGCUUUUGAGAUAGAUUUCAUCACCUUUUAUGAUAGAAAAGCUUUGUUGAUUUAUCAGUUGCCACAUAUGUUGCCGUCCGAAGAAGCAUUUGCAGCUGCUGUAUCUGCUCUUGGUAUCGAGAACAAAGAUGGGGUUGUUGUAUACGAUGGCAAGGGCAUUUUCAGUGCUGCCCGUGUUUGGUGGUGAGUUAUUAAACUGAUGAUAAAAGGCGGAUAAGUUCAUAUCAUCCAAAAGUGUCUAAUCAAUGGAAAAUGGGUAAUCAGGAUGUUUCGAGCUUUUGGACAUGACAAAGUUUGGGUUUUAGAUGGUGGCUUGCCAAGAUGGCGUGCUUCAGGUUAUGAUGUCGAGUCACCCGGUGAUGCCAUUCUGAAAGCUAGUGCUGCCACUGAGGCAAUUGAGAAAGUAUACCAAGAACAGAUGGUAAGAUAAACAUUUCUCCAUUUCCACCUUUUGAAGCAAUAGGGUGAGGUUCUCUGAGUUUUAUUGUCUUCUCGGGACUUUUGCUGCAUCAUUCCAAAUAAUGCUUAAGUAGUGACUCUGUUGGUGCUUCUUGAAUAUCUGGAGGGCUCCACAGACUCACCUUGUUCAUGUCUAACCGUUCAUUAUGUAAGGGUUGGGCAACUUUUGUUUGAAAUUCAAGUCAGACUAUCUUUUUAGAUUCUUUUUCUCCUUAACCGAUUUAAGAAACAGUUCUCUCAUUAUGUUACUCAAAUGAAAAUCUAUCCUUUUUAUAAGUAAAUUUACUGAAAAGUGAAAACAGUACCCAGGUGAUACAAAAAUUACAGAGAUGGACUUAAGAACUCCUAGUAUAUGCUUAAAGAGUCAAUCAAGGCCAUCAUAUUUGCUUGCUCCUUAAUUGUAUCCCCUUUGUUCCAAAAAUACAAGUAUUAAAGACUACUAUACUUUACAAAAGUUUCAAGGAACUAUAGUUGUCUUCCAUAGGAUGAAGUGAAUGAUUUGAUGUUUGACAAGUUCCCAUUUCCUUAAUUCUUUGUUUUAUUGGGGAUGUAUAUGAUGAAAAUAUCUUUUCAAUCACUCUUUGUCCACUUGGAAUUCAUGAAUAUAAAGUUGAAACAUCAGUUUUUCUUGCCGUGUAGAACUUUUCGGUACAUUUUCUUUCUCCCUCUCUUCGUAUUUUCUGACGUUGUGCAUUUAAUGUUAUAUGGUUUUAAUGUUUCUCUUAGAACCUCUAAUGUGCAGGUUGGCCCUACUACCUUCCAGACCAAGUUUCAGCCUCAUCUUGUCUGGACUCUUGAUCAGGUUGGUUUCCUUGAUUGCUUUCUGCCUACAGCACUUGGUGGUAGUUGCAUCUAGCCAUGUAUCAUGAAGCUGAUGGUAAUGGCGAGGACUUUUUUUGGAUUAUUGACAUUCAGACUGUAUUCAAAAUCCAACUGCUUAAAAUUAGAUUAUUUUUUUUAGAGAAAGGUAAGAGUAGUAUUAUAAAGUCUCCAGCACAAAGACUAUGCUAGGAACAAUAUUUACAGUUCAAAAAGCAAAACAAAAGGUAAACAUGAAUGGAACUACAAGUGGACUGUGAUUUAGUGGGUAUUAGAUUGUAAGCUUGUUGGUUGAUAUUUGUCCUUAGUGCAACUUUGUUCGCAAAAAUCUACCUCCGUUUCCCUGAUUUACUGGGACAACUCUAUGAAGUUUGUGAAGAAAAUCUAGGAGGACUAGAACUAUGACCAUUGGAGGUUGUUUUCUACGGAAUACUUUGGUCUGUUCGGGGAUUCUGGUUAUAGCUGCUCUUUGUGAAGGUUAAUAGUUUGAUGAUUGUAUGAUAGUCCAAUACUGGAAAAAAUGUGAACACAAUCUUGUCACUUAACAUAGGUCAGAAAGAUUGAAUUUUCAAUAUAUUCUCCAUAAAUGUAUGUAUUCUUAUCAGAAUACUUCUAGCUUAGCUAUAGAUAUGGAGAUAUGAUUUGUGUAUAUUUUCAGGUUAAAAGGAACAUUCAAGUAAAGACAUAUCAGCUUAUAGAUGCUCGAUCCAAAGCUAGGUACUCCAUGAUGUCUGCAAACACAUUUUUUAAAAUGUGAUUGACUAAUAUGCUAAGCUAUUUGUUCAACAACACUCACAUGAAGAUGAGAGUAGAUUUUAUUUGUCAAUUAUCUUUUGAAGCAAUUACAACCCUUGUGGAUUUACUUUUAGAUUUUACUUCUCCCUCCUAAUUUAUGUGACACAUUAAGUCUGAAAAUGUUUGGCACAUGUUAUGAAUAAUAGUGAUGUUUAAUUUGACCAUCCUAUACUCUAAGAGUUCAACUUCAAACUUAAAUAAUGAGGUUAUGCUUUCCUUUGCAACAGUUAGUUCAAUAUGCAAGUUAAAUUGUCUUUGUGCCUUGUUAAAUAUCUCGUUUGAUUAGAGAGUAAUAUCUUUUGGCAUGUCUUGUCAUCUAUAGGGCCUUGUUGGAUGCUUUCCUUAUAAACAAUUAGUUCCAUAUGCUAGUCAAAGAGAGGCUGCUGUCUUGUUGUAUGGUUAGAAAGGUCGGAGUAAUAAAUUUUGGCACGUCUUGUGAUUUAGAUAAUUAGAUUGCUGUUAUAUGUACAUGUAUUUCUUUCUUAUGCUACAUUAUCUUUAGGACAUGUAGACAGAAACUUCUUCUCCUAAUAUGAAUGUUGGCAUAGCCAACUUGAACAUUUUGUAAUGGCUGCAAUUGAUGUGCUUAGUGAGUAGGAAAACUUAGAUAAACAUUAUUAGUGGUUACCGUCGAGAAAGGAUGGAAUCUGAAAAUGUUGCCAUUAUAUCUUUCCUAACAAUGCUCAAGUUUACCACGGUCAUGGAGUCUUGAGUUAUUAGGGACCACUCAUUACAUAAUGUGGGAAAUAGGCAAGUUGAGGUGCUUAUAUAUGUUCUCUUUAUACAACAUACCUAGUGUAAUUCCAUGAGUGUGGUCUGGGGAGGGUAGAGUGUACGCAUACCUUACCCUUACCUUGAGAAGGUAGAGAGGUUGUUUCCGAUAGACCCCCGGCUCAUGUAAAACGUUUCAAAGCAGUUUAAAAAGGGAAAACAAUAGUGAAGUAGACAUAUUAAAUAGGGAAAGCAUUACUUAACAUUCAAAAAAAGGAAGAGUAGCAAUAGCAAAAUAAUGCGACAAUCGAGGUACGAGAAAUAACAGGCAGCGGCAGAAAUUACAAGGCAAGGAACUACGAGAACAAAUGUUAAUACUACUAGAAUGAGAGAACAAGUACACUGCUCUACACUACCACCAAACCUUUCCGGCAGGAAAGCGAGACAGUACUUUGUCUCAAAAAAAAGGAAAGCGAGACAAUACUUAAUUACCUACUAAUAUUCUACCCUAAUCCGUGAUCUCCAUAAUUUUUUAUUUAAAAUCAUGUCCUUGGUAAGCUAAAGAUGCACCAUGUCAUGUCUAAUAACCUCUCUCUAAUACUUCUUUGGUCUACCUCUCCUUGAACCCACAAUUGCCAACCUCUCACACCUCCUAAAUAGAGCAUUUGUGCAUUUCCUCUUCACAUGUCUGAACCAUUUUAGCCUUGUUUCUCUUAUCCUAUCCACACGGGCCACUCCCACCUUGUUUUAGAUAUUCUUAUUCUUAAUCUUAUCUCAUGCCCACACAUCAACCACAACAUCUUCAUUUCCGCACCUCACAUCUUCUGGACAUGUGAGUUCUUAGCUGACCAACACUCCGCCCCAUACAACAUAGUUGGCCUAACCACUUAUCGAUAAAACUUGCCUUUAAGUUUUUGGUGGUGUAUUUUUAUCACACAAGACUCUAGAGGUGAGCCUCUAUUUCAUCCUUCCAACACCUAUAGUUCAAUACGAUGUGUGAGAUCAUCAUCGAUCUCUCAUUCUUUUGGAUUAAACAACAAUAACAACAUACCCAUUGUAAUCCCACAAAGUAGGGUCUAGGGAAGGUAGUGUAUGCAAACUUUACCCCUACCUUGGAGGUAGAGAAUCUAUUUCCAAUAGAUCCUCGGCUCAAGAAAAAAUGGUUCAAAGUAGUAUGAAAUAGGAAAUAACAGAAGUGAAGAAACUAUGACAAACCAUUCUAAACAGUGGCUACAACUGAAUAAUACGAUAGUUGUUGAAGUGACCUACAUCAAAUAAAAAAGGGAUAUGCGGUCUUUUUAUAGGCUUGAGCAAUCCUACCUUUGAGCUAGCUUUUGGGUUUGAGUUAGGCCCAAAGCGUAAUUUAACAUGGCAUCAGAGCAGGAUCCAUCCCAAUUAAUGUUUACCGAUAAUGGACCCCUAGAUUAAAUUGUCCACACACCAGAUGUCCAUCCCAAAGCUUAUGUUGGUUUAUAAGAGUCUCACUCGGGAUAACCUUGUAGUCUUUACAAAGACCUUUAUCAUCUUUCUUAGGGAGAAAAUAGUCUAUUUGUCUUACCCAACGUACUAUGGAAGUUAUCAAGUUCUCCUCCUUAUUUGAGAAACUCAAAUUGGCUACCCCAACCCAAAAGCUCCUGCAAAAUCCAAAAGUGAGCCUUUUCCUUUGUUCCCAUUCCCGAAACCAAAACCUCUAUGCACUUGUUAUAGCCCCGUUGAGUUGACCCGAUGUGUCCAUUGAAAUCUCCUCCUAUGAAUAACUUCUCAGUGAGCGGUAUACCUUGUCAAAAUCGCUUCUUGUCCUCUUCGCCCAAGCCCGCUUGCGGUGCGUAUGCACUAACGAUCUUCAAAGUGGACCCGCCAAUGACUAACUUAAUCAUCAUCAUCCUGUCGUUGAUCCUCCAAACCUCUACCACUUGCCCCCUUAGCUCUCUAUCUAUUAAGAUUCCUACUCCAUUUGUAUUCCUCAAGACUACUGAGUACCAUAAGGGUAGAGGGGUGGGCCCAUUAUCCACCGAGUUUAAAAGGCUGUGAUUGGUCCAAAGGUCGGGUCACAGACGGAUUUCUCGGUUAUCAAAAAAAAAAAGAGUACCAGAAUUUAUACCUGUCCACAUCUAACGCCUUAGUACCUACCCAUUUGGUCUCCUAGGCACUAGCUACACUAAUCCUCCUCUUUUUGAGAAUCUUCACUAGUUUAUGGACUUCCCCAUUAAAGUCCCUAUGUUCCAAGACCCCACUCUUAACCUAGAAGAUCUCAUAACCCACUUACCAUCCCUGACCCUAGCCUCUGUCCCCGAUUGAGAACAUGACCUCGGUCUACCAUCAUUCACUAGAGCCAUUAAAUAAAAUUACUAAUCAAGGGUUUACAUCAAAAUGAGCAGGAAUCAAUACUCAAGAGUAAAGACAAAGCAAGAAUCUAAGGACCAAAGUCAACAAGGCAGGAACCGAACCACAAAUGAGCAAGAAUCCAAAGGCAAGUACAUGAUACAUAUAAUAAGACAAGAAUGAUAACACUAAAGCCUGAGAGAACUAUACACAAGAAUAGUUAGGGCAGGAAUCAAAGCACAAGCAAGCAAGAAUCUAAAGGCAAGAAUGUCUAAUAAGACAAGAAUGAUUUCACCCGGAUAAAGACCCUAGAUAUUUGAAACUUCCUCUCUUGGGGAUGACCGACUUAUCAAGCCUCACUUCUAUGCCAACGUCGUGUGUCUCAUUACUGAACUUGCACUAUAAGCACUCUGUUUGGGUCCCACUCAACCCGGACCCUUUAGACUAUAGGAUUCGUGUCCAAACUUCCAGCCUAGCGUUAACUCCACCGCAAGUCUCGUCAAUCAGUACUAUGUCAUUUGCAAAUAACAUUCACCAUGGCACCUCUCCUUGGAUAUGACGCGUCAACUCAUCCAACACCAAGGCAAAUAGAAACGGGCUAAGAGCGGAUCCCUGUUGCAACCCCAUUAUGACUUAGAAGUGUUCUAAGUCUUCUCCCACUAUUCUUACCAGCUCUUGGAUCCAUUGUACAUGUCUUGAAUCACUCUACUGAUUGCCACCGGUACACUUCUAACCUCCAAACACCUCCAUAGAACCUCUCUUGGGACUUUAUCAUAAGCCUUUUUUAGGUCAAUGAACACCAUAGGUAAGUCCUUAUCCAAAUGAGCCCAUUAACUCUAGAAAAUGCAAAACCUCAAAUUUUUCAUAUAAGAAACUAGGGUGCCUAUGAUGCCAAGCAUAAGCAGAACUGUUGACUAUACUCUUCUAGAUGUCACAGCUUGCGGCCCCAGUUUAGAGCCAUUUGAUUGCUUGAUAUGCAUUGACAUGUAUGUGUAUAAGAUUUAGAAAGGAAAACCACUUCUCUUUAUAUGUUUAGAAUAUUACUAGCUUCUUUCUUUGAGUGAUGUCAAGGAGCAAUUCUCACAUUAACUUCUUUUGUAGGAUUUUUCCCUUUGUGGCGUCAAUUCCUUGUUUACGAAUAAAAAAGGAUUGAUAUAUAAUGUUCAUAGGUACUUGUAUGAUGAUGGUCUAGGAAAAAAUCAUCUGUUCUAGAAUAGUUUUUACAGGGUAGGGCAGAUUUACAUUUUCAAGUUGUUUUGGUGAAGUUACUCUCUUAGUCAUUUUUAUUUUCAAGAACUGCAAUUGUUUUUUGUAUAGUCAUUUCUGUUACGAGUGGAUUCUGUCCAAGAACGAGUAGUUGUGCAUAUCUUCUUUUCCCAUUAAAUUACAAUGCAAACACCGCUCUCUGCAGGUUUCGAGUUUAAAACAAAGCUACGUAAAUGUGAUACCUAUACUCUACAUACUUAAGAUAUGAUGUUGUGGGGAAAUUGUUUUUUAAUUUGGAUAUUUAAAGAUGCAUGUACUCUUCCUCUAUGAGCGAGACUCCAUCCAAAUCUUCAACUCCUUGGGCGAGGCCUUCUGUUCUAUGAAGACCCCACCACUGAAUGAUUCACUUUCAAGUUCUCGCUGUAAACACCUGGCCGUAAUAUUAGGAAAAAAACUUUUAUUAAGAAGAGGUAAUAGAGGGAAUAAAUUAAUAAUCAACUGUAGUAGACUGAAGCAACUGUAAUUGUUUAAUGUGUAAAUUUUCUAGAGUUCAUUAUGCAAGCUUAAUUUUUUUCAUAGAGUUUAGUCAUCUGGAGUUUUGUUUUGCACUGUUUUAGGUUUGAUGGUGUUGCACCAGAGCCUCGAAAAGGAAUUAAUAGUGGACAUGUACCCGAGAGCAAGUGUAUUCCUUUUCCACAGGUGAGGAUCUGUGCAUUGAAGAAAAAAACAAUCUUUUUAAUAUUCUAUGGCAGUUUCUGUUUCAUCUCCUGUAUAAAACAGUUCCUGCUUUCAAUGAAGAUAUGGUGAAGUAUUUCUGUUUGAAUAGGUUAAACUAUGUGAGAAAUAUAUAUGUGAAAAAUAUUAUUGAAUUGUUGUUCUAAUAAUUACAUAGAGAACCCUAUUUAUAGACACUAUAUAAUACAGUUCCUUACCAAAUAGGAGACUAUAAACUAUUCCUAGUUUGUGUAGGAUUGUGUUUUCCUAUUCUAUUCUAACACUCCCCUUCAAGCUGGUGCAUACAAAUUAUAUGUACCUAGCUUGUUACAAAUGUAAUUAAUACGAGGACCGGUAAGAGACUUGGUGAAGAUAUCUGCAAGUUGAUCAUUUGACUUCACAAAUUUGGUAACAAUAUCUCCUGAGAGUAUCUUUUCUCUUACAAAGUGACAAUCAAUCUCAAUGUGCUUAGUCCUCUCAUGAAACACUGGAUUUGAUGCAAUAUGAAGGGCCGCUUGAUUAUCACACACAAGUUCCAUAUGACCGGUUUCUCCAAACUUCAGUUCUCCAAGCAACUGUUUGAUCCAAACUAGCUCACAAGUUGCUACAGCCAUUGCUCAAUAUUUUGCUUCUGCACUGGAUCGAGCAACCACACUUUGUUUCUUACUCUUCCAUGACACCAAAUUACCUCCAACUAAAACACAAUAUCCAGAUGUAGAAUGUUUAUCAAAGGGUGAUCCAGCCCAAUCAGCGUCUGUAUAUCCGGUGAUAUGCUCAUGGCCUUGAUCCUUGAAGAGUAGUCCUUUACCAGGAGCUGACUUUAUAUAUCGCAGAAUAAGAACAACUGCAUCCCAAUGACUAUCACAAGGAGAAGUCAUAAACUGACUUACAACACUCACAUGAAAAGAGAUGUCCGGUCUAGUCACAGUGAGGUAAUUCAACUUUCCAACCAACCGUCUAUACCUUUCAGGAUUACUGAGUUGCUUCCCUUGUCCUGGAAGGAGUUUAACAUUAGGAUCCAUAGGAGUGUCAAUGGGUUUACAUCUCAUCAUUCAUGUCUCCUCAAGAAUGUCUAAAGCAUACUUGCAUUGAGAAAUAACAAUACCUGAUGUAGACUGAGCAACCUCAAUACCAAGAAAAUACUUCAAUCUGCCAAGGUCUUUAGUUUGGAAAUGCUGAAAGAGAUAUUGCUUCAAAUUAGCGAUACCAACUUGAUCAUUGCCGGUGAUAACGAUAUUAUCAACGUAAACAACCAAAUAAAUACACAAAUUUGGUGUUGAAUGCCGAUAAAACACAGAGUGAUCAGCACCACUACGAGUCAUGCCAAACUCCUGAAUUACUGUGAAAUCGUGACUAUGUGUUCAUGCUUUCGAAAAGAACCAAGCUCGAAGAGACUGUUUCAGACCAUACAGUGACUGACGCAAUCGACAUACAAGGCUUCUAGACUCCCCUGAGCAACAAAACCAGGUGGUUGCUCCAUAUAGACUUCUUCCUCUAGAUCACCAUGCAGAAAAGCAUUCUUAAUGUCCAACUGAUGAAGAGGCCAAUGACGAACGGCAGCCAUAGAUAGAAAAAGACGGACUGAUGCUAUUUUGGCCACAGGAGCGAAAGUGUCGCUAUAAUCUAGCCCAAAUAUCUGAGUAUACCCUUUAGCAACAAGGCGAGCCUUAAGCCGAUCGACUUGACCAUCUGGACCAAUUUUGACCGCAUAAACCCAACGACAACCAACAGUAGUCUUACCUGUAGGAAGGAGACAAGCUCCCAAGUACCACUCGAAUGUAAAGCAGACAUCUCAUCAAUCAUAGCCUGCCUCCAUCCAGAAUGAGAAAGUGCUUCUCCUGUAGUCUUAGGGAUGGAAAUAGAGGACAAAGAUGAUACAAAGGCAUAAUGGGGUGAAGAUAAACAAUGGUAACUCAAGAAAGUAUAAUGGGGAUUAGUAUUUCGAGUAGAUCGUAUACCUUUUUGAAGUGCAAUCGAUUGGCUAGUAGGGGGCACGGCCAUAGUGGGAGCAGGGUCCGGCGCAUGACAUGAAUCAUUUGAGACUAUUGCUGGAAGUGGACGUCGAUGAUAAGUUAGGAGUGGUGGCACUAUACUUGUAAAACAAGACAACAAUGCAAACCAGCCGUUGACAGUCACCGGAUUCUGACUUUUUUUUAAUUUUUUUUUUUCUUACCAAUGCUCUGAUACCAUGUGAGAAAUAUAUAUGUGAAAAAUAUUAUUGAAUUGUUGUUCUAAUAAUUACAUAGAGAACCCUAUUUAUAGACACUAUAUAAUAUAAUUCCUUACCAAAUAGGAGACUAUAAACUAUACCUAGUUUGUGUAGGAUUGUAUUUUCCUAUUCUAUUCUAACAAACUAUUUGUCUCAUAUUUCCACAGUGCAUUUGAUGCUCCUUGACCAUGGAGAAUUUACUUCCUGUCAUUGGUAUCAUCUGGACUAUCGAGUGCAUGACAUUAUAAGUUUCUCACAGUUGACAAUGAUAAAAGCCAUCAUCUUGUACUAAGUUUGAUGCAUUUUGCUUAAAACCUUGUUAACUGAGUGUUAAGGCCCAAACUAUGAAAUUUCAAUACUAUGCCUCUCAGGGAUGCAAGUCACAAAAAUGAAUGUGAAUAUGCUCUCAGGCACAAUUAUCAAGAUCAGAAAAGACUACUUCUUUUCCAGCCGUUUUUAAAGUUUCUGGUGUCUUUACAGUGGGGUGUGGGUGGGGGGUUGGGGGGGNNNNNNNNNNNNNNNNNNNNNNNNNNNNNNNNNNNNNNNNNNNNNNNNNNNNNNNNNNNNNNNNNNNNNNNNNNNNNNNNNNNNNNNNNNNNNNNNNNNNNNNNNNNNNNNNNNNNNNNNNNNNNNNNNNNNNNNNNNNNNNNNNNNNNNNNNNNNNNNNNNNNNNNNNNNNNNNNNNNNNNNNNNNNNNNNNNNNNNNNNNNNNNNNNNNNNNNNNNNNNNNNNNNNNNNNNNNNNNNNNNNNNNNNNNNNNNNNNNNNNNNNNNNNNNNNNNNNNNNNNNNNNNNNNNNNNNNNNNNNNNNNNNNNNNNNNNNNNNNNNNNNNNNNNNNNNNNNNNNNNNNNNNNNNNNNNNNNNNNNNNNNNNNNNNNNNNNNNNNNNNNNNNNNNNNNNNNNNNNNNNNNNNNNNNNNNNNNNNNNNNNNNNNNNNNNNNNNNNNNNNNNNNNNNNNNNNNNNNNNNNNNNNNNNNNNNNNNNNNNNNNNNNNNNNNNNNNNNNNNNNNNNNNNNNNNNNNNNNNNNNNNNNNNNNNNNNNNNNNNNNNNNNNNNNNNNNNNNNNNNNNNNNNNNNNNNNNNNNNNNNNNNNNNNNNNNNNNNNNNNNNNNNNNNNNNNNNNNNNNNNNNNNNNNNNNNNNNNNNNNNNNNNNNNNNNNNNNNNNNNNNNNNNNNNNNNNNNNNNNNNNNNNNNNNNNNNNNNNNNNNNNNNNNNNNNNNNNNNNNNNNNNNNNNNNNNNNNNNNNNNNNNNNNNNNNNNNNNNNNNNNNNNNNNNNNNNNNNNNNNNNNNNNNNNNNNNNNNNNNNNNNNNNNNNNNNNNNNNNNNNNNNNNNNNNNNNNNNNNNNNNNNNNNNNNNNNNNNNNNNNNNNNNNNNNNNNNNNNNNNNNNNNNNNNNNNNNNNNNNNNNNNNNNNNNNNNNNNNNNNNNNNNNNNNNNNNNNNNNNNNNNNNNNNNNNNNNNNNNNNNNNNNNNNNNNNNNNNNNNNNNNNNNNNNNNNNNNNNNNNNNNNNNNNNNNNNNNNNNNNNNNNNNNNNNNNNNNNNNNNNNNNNNNNNNNNNNNNNNNNNNNNNNNNNNNNNNNNNNNNNNNNNNNNNNNNNNNNNNNNNNNNNNNNNNNNNNNNNNNNNNNNNNNNNNNNNNNNNNNNNNNNNNNNNNNNNNNNNNNNNNNNNNNNNNNNNNNNNNNNNNNNNNNNNNNNNNNNNNNNNNNNNNNNNNNNNNNNNNNNNNNNNNNNNNNNNNNNNNNNNNNNNNNNNNNNNNAGGAAUAUUCUGAUAUGCAUGGCAGAAGGUGGAAGUGGAAACUAAACGAACAUCACUCAAGUUUCUUUUGAUACACUAUUAAAUGAAUCUGAUUUAAGAUUGAUCCAAGAGCCUAUGCCAGUUAAAGGGAUGGGGAACCAAAUAUUUCAAGUAGGCCCAGUUUUAUUUACCGAGUCCUAGCACUUUAAACCAAACCAUUUUACUAUGGUCGGUUAUAAUAAAAUGGGACCAAUCUUUGAGGAGAUUGAAGCAAAUAAAUCAGUCCUUGGUAACUCCAAAUGCAGCUCUGGAGAAUUGGCAACUCGAAACUGCAGAAGAUUCUCAAUUUCCGGAACCAAAAGAGAUGGCGACCCACGAAGGAGACAAUUAUGAAGAUGCUAGGACUAUCAUUGAAGGCGCGGGGAGUGCAAACUGAUAAAGGGGCAAAUGAGACAUGCAAAUGAUUGAAUAUAGAGGUAGACAUUGGUUUGUUGAGGAAGCAGACCACUGAAUAUACAGAUGCAGGAGGAGAUACAAGGUGAAAUGGACCCAUUCUUAUGGGUUCACCAGAAUGUGAUCAAAUUGAGCAAGUAGUUUGGGGUUGAUUUUCAUGGAUGUGAAAAGGAUGCUCUGGCAUUUUUUAUGAAAAUUGAUAGCAGAAGGAAGGCAAAUUAACACGAGUUAGAAUCACUAAUCAUGACUACUACUAAAAUCAAAGGCCUACAAGAAUUCAAAGGUUUGGUCUUUGAUAUGAAGUUAAAAGGCAGUAGGGCAAGGAACAAUGGGAAAGAAGUUCCAUACGGGGAAUAAUGAAUGUCAAAAUCAUUUCCUGAAAUAUGAGGGGGUUGAAUCCUAGAGCAAAGAGGAGGGUGUUAUAUGGUCGGUUACAAAAAACUCAGGAUUUUAACUAGCAUAUGACAAGGGUUAUACCCCAAAUUGCGACAGUGAAAGACAGGAAGUUUGGUGGAAGAUUGGGUCUGUAAGGGGCUUAUUCGCAGGACCCUGCAUGGAGGUUGUGACUUCAACUUAGUCAGAUCUCCUCUCAGUAGAAGUAGAAGCACCAUGCCAAUGGCGUAAUUCUCUGAUUUUAUUGAAGAUAUGGAGCUGAUUGACCUUCAGCUGGUAGGGAGAAAUUACACAUGGACCAGGGAGAAAUUGCACAUGGACUAGAGGGAAUAGGCAUGUGACAUCAUGUGGUUUUGAUCCCUAUAAAGAAUGGAGCUAAGGAGUUGAGGCAGGUUAGACAAUCAGCUUAAUAAGGAGUAUCUACUAGCUGAUUUCUAAAAUGCUCACGGAAAGACUCAAAAAGGUGAUUCACAAACUUGUAGACUGACAACAAUUGUCAUUUAUAAAAAGGAUGGCAAAUUGUAGAUGUUGUACUAAUUACUAAUGCAUGUAUAAACUCCGGACUGUAGGAGAAAAACCAGGCAUUAUGUGCAAGCUAUCAUUAAUAAAACAUGACUAUAUUCUGCUUAAAAUUCUGUAUAAGAUGGGGCUUGGGAGAAUAUGGAUCAUCUGAAUGAAGUUUUGCGUAGGUACUAUCAGAUUAUGGAUCCUCUGAAGGUUGCUUCCUUCUCAAGGAGGACUAUGACCCCUUGUCACCUUUUUAAAUUUCUUCUAGCUAAGGAAGAAUCCAAGUUCCAACAACAUGUUGAAAACUGAACACAGGAAUGGCUGGAUUAGGGGUUUCAAUGUGGCAAACAAUCAAGCAAAAAGGUGUAUAUAACUCACCUUCAGUAUGCAUAUGAUAUCUUGAUUUUCUAUGAUGCAGAGGAGAUCCAACUGAAAUAUCUGAGGGUCAUCCUUGUUUUUUUAAAGCUAUUUCAUGGUUUCAUAUGAAACAUAUUAACAGGAGGAAAAGUCAGAUUUCCCCGUUAAUAAGGUGCCCAGAAUGCAAGGUAUAAAGAAGGGUGACGAUACACUCCGAUGGAAAGAAGUAUAAGAGUGGAUUUACAGUCAUUUCUGCAUAUAAAGAUCUGAACCAGGAGGAAUCCCGACUCAGUUUCCGGCCUUGAAAACAUUUGUGGAAAGUGAAGAUAUGCAUAAAGGGGUUUGCUUCACUGGGUUGGUAAUUAAGAGGUUAUCCUUACUCAAGAUAACUUAAGGAAGAGGGGAAUUCAACUUUGUUCAAGAUGCUAUUUAUGUGAACAGAAUGUGGAUACAAUCAACCAACUGUCUCUACAUUAUAAAGUUACCAGCCAACUAUGAGAUCUAUUCAUCAACCUCAAAGGUAUCAGGUGGACAAUGCUUGAGAGAAAUUUUGAAGUCAUGACAAGUUAGGACUCGGUGGUUGGGGAGUGGGAGGUGGGGGGAUGUAUCACUAACAAAGUUGGAUUAAAAAUUGUCCUAGCAACUAAGGUAUUUUCAAGAUACACGCAGUCCUCUGUAAAAAUCAAGACAAAUUGUAUUCUUCUUUUUAGAUUUUGUAAAUUAUCGAUGAUCCAGAUUCAAUUCUAGAAAUUUCAGAUUCCUUGUAAGAGAAGCAAGGAUGGUAGUUAUUUUUGGGUCCUUAGAUGUAACUCUCAUAUAUUGGUUUCCAGAACAAUCUUUGAUGAUUUAUAUACUGAUCUUGUCAUAUUCUCCAAAAAGAAAAAAUAUUACUAUGCUUCUCGGGUCUUCCAAGAAUCAUUUUGGGCAUAUUGGCUCUUGGAUCCUACACUGAUACCUUUGUCUGCCUGCAAAGAUUCUUGAAAACUGAGGCAUUCCCGUCUCUUUGUCCCCUUAUGCUUGACUUUGCACCUAAGCCCUGGAAAACCUAGUGUGUGUAGUACCUGUUCAGUUUUCUAGCUUCUAUCUAUUCUUUGAUGAUUUAUGUAGAGACUACCUAGUUGAAGCUCUGAAUCAACCUUGGGUAGUCAUCAUCAGUAUGAGAAUGUGAAACAAUGAAAUGAGCUUCACAUGUUUUGCCUGUAUUUCCUUGUUUCCAAAGCUUAAUCCCUACUGAGUAAUUCCUAGAUCAAGUUCUGUAGCUGUGAUAUAUUAAAUCUAUAUGUUUUUUUUUAAAAAAAAAUAAAAAUAUUCAAAUCUAUACGUUUGUGGUGAUUCUUAUCAGAUGUUGGAUGGCUCACAUACACUCUUAUCCCGUGAAGAGCUCGAGAAAAAAUUUGGUCAAGAAGGUUAGAACUAGUCUCAUUUUCUGAGCUAGAGUUUGGGCAUGUUACAUUUCUGUGGUUUUGCUUUCUUGCUACCCCUAGCUUUGUUGAAUGUUAGAUCUCAUAAAAACAGUGAGCCAUAGUUAAAAACGGCGUGUUGUAUGUGGCACGUUUAGACCUGAAGCUACCAUGGGGCUCAGGUUGGGAACUUAAGUGCAAGAUCGUCAUUGCAAAAAAUCCACGUCAUUGCCUAUAGGCAAUUAGAGACCCCCUUUAAGAGGACAACACUAGGCAAUAAAUAUAGUCAGCAAAGUGGAGACUUAAUUAUUAACAAAAUGUUUUCUGUAGUGAUUUGGGUCCCCCCCCCCCCCCCCCCCCCCCCACCCUNNNNNNNNNNNNNNNNNNNNNNNNNNNNNNNNNNNNNNNNNNNNNNNNNNNNNNNNNNNNNNNNNNNNNNNNNNNNNNNNNNNNNNNNNNNNNNNNNNNNNNNNNNNNNNNNNNNNNNNNNNNNNNNNNNNNNNNNNNNNNNNNNNNNNNNNNNNNNNNNNNNNNNNNNNNNNNNNNNNNNNNNNNNNNNNNNNNNNNNNNNNNNNNNNNNNNNNNNNNNNNNNNNNNNNNNNNNNNNNNNNNNNNNNNNNNNNNNNNNNNNNNNNNNNNNNNNNNNNNNNNNNNNNNNNNNNNNNNNNNNNNNNNNNNNNNNNNNNNNNNNNNNNNNNNNNNNNNNNNNNNNNNNNNNNNNNNNNNNNNNNNNNNNNNNNNNNNNNNNNNNNNNNNNNNNNNNNNNNNNNNNNNNNNNNNNNNNNNNNNNNNNNNCCCCCCCCCAUAUCUAUGGUCUUUAAUUUUUGCCCUUCAGCAUUUUAAGUAAUGGCUGAAAAUACCCUGACAACUUCUUGUGGGGCAUGAAUUUAUAUUUUCGUAUCAUAGUAUCCCAUAAGUUAUGCCAUAAAAGGCACAACAAGUUAUGCCCCUAACACCCAAAUAACAAACAACUUUUUUGUCAUAAGUUUAUAUUUUCAUGUCAACAUAUCCCACAAAUUAUGCCUACUUGGCAUAACAAUUUAUGCCGUAUGUCCCUACCGAAAUAACAAACAAUUUUUUUGCAGCAUAAGUUUAUAUGUUUGUAUCAUAAUAUCCACAAGUUACGCUGUAACAAGUUAUGUCGUAUGUCAGGAGGGCAUAAUGUCUUUCCAAAAAAAAAAAGAGAGAACACACAAACCUAACUUUUGUUCUCUCUAAAAAGAUAAAGAAUGUACUCCCCAAAAAGUACUACUCCAGUUUCUGUACACUACAACAAAUUUUGGAAAAAUCUACACAACUUGCGCUGCAUAACUUAGUUUCUACAGAAUUUAUGCUUAGGGAGGCAAAAGUUUUCUAAACUUAUGCCGAGCGAGGCGAAAGUUCUCUAAACUUAUGCCGAGCGAAUUGGGUCCAAAAAGGGUACUUGGUCCACAAAUUACAUUAACUGAGCAGUAGGGGGGAAAAUUAAAGACCAAUCUGUUUGAGGGGCAAACCAUGCAAAAACUUGAAAUCUAUUAGCCCAAUAAACUUAUGGCUCUUUUCUGCGCUAUUGGCCUUUAACAGUCAUGGUAAAAACCCGUAAGGUUGUCAUAUUAGGUGCUCUAUGAGUUUGCUUUUGUUUGUAUUUUUCUUCCACUUUUAUUGAUGCAUUAUCUUUCAUUGGAGGAAUAUAAUGUCUUUUCAUUUGCAUGUUUAUGCAAUUAUGGUGUAUGCAAAAGGUUCCCCUUUGAAAUGGAGAGUUGGCACUGUUUCAUUCCGUACUGUGUUUAAUCAUCUAACUGCAUCUAGUAAAUCUUUUGUCUAACCAUUUUGUUUUGCUUGAAUAAUUCUUGUCUAACCAUGGGAUGUAUGUUAUUUGAAAAUGUUCUUGCACUUUAGGUAACUAAUCUAACAAUACUUGUUUCUUUGGCAGGUAUCUCUUUGGACAAGCCUAUAGUUGCCUCUUGUGGCACAGGUGUAACUGCUUGCAUACUUGUCUUGGUCAGUUGAAUCCUCUUUCUCUCAUACAGUUCUCGCUUGUACCGUUGUACAUUAAUCUAUGCCCAGUAUUCAUAUGGCUAUUCCAUUGUCACAAAAGAGGGAUGAAUUCAAAGUUCAUUUAUCUCUAUCUUUAUCUUUUUAGGGCCUCCAUCGACUGGGGAAGACUGACAUUCCAGUCUAUGAUGGUUCAUGGACAGAAUGGGCAACACAGCCAGAUACACCUCUCUCCACAUCUGAAAGAUGAAGACGUUUGUAUGGUCUGCUUGUUUUUAUGGGUGAACAAUGAUGAUGGUGAAUCUAGAUCUGGUUCCUUUUAUUAAUGGUUAGUGUAACAACUUCAAUUGUAUUGUUGAAUGAUAAAAAGUUGUACAAAUUGUCUUAAUUUUACCUUCCAUUAUAUUUUGGAGCCAUUGAUACCCUCGCCGUAAGCAAAUCGUAUCGUAUUUCCCGGUGAUGCUAACGAGCUUUUGUGUGGACUGAAAAGCUUUGAACCCUGUCAAAAUCUUGACACGGUGGGUUUAUGUGUCAAAAUAUUUCCAAUGAAGGUCUAAAGAUACUCAUCUACUUUUGAUAAUGUUAUUGACUCAUGGUGUAUACACCAAAGGAGAUGGCGAGCUUUUGUUCUUAAUUUAAUGGCUGAAGUUGUUAUAACUCCCCGAAACUUUGGUGUGGAUUAUUACUUUCGUACUUAGUACUAGAAACACUCUUAUGCUUGGAUAAGUGAACUUUAAAACGCCUCCAAAAUCACAUGUAUUCAUGUGUUGUCCAGUUGGACUUUAUAUUCGAUGGGUAAUUAUUGACUUUAAAAGCUUAGUUAAAAUAAUUUUAUACUAGUGAAUAUAACCACGCUACACGUAAUUAUAAAUUUAUUACUUCCUUCCUUCCUUUCAUAUUAAUUGAACUGUUUAGGUGUUUUACACCCUUUAAUAAAAGUAGAUUAAGACAUAAAUUGAAAAUAGUUUUCUAUUUUUACCCUUAUUAAUUAUUGUCAAAUUUAUUGAAGUCAUCAUAUUGAAAAUCCAAAUGAAUAAAAUUGAAAGAACACUCAAAAAAUAGUCUUGAAAACUGAACAAUUAAGUUAAUUUGAAAAAUGGAAAAUGCCUCUAAAAUUCAAUUAAUAUGAAAUAGAGGGAGCAGUGAAUAGACGAAUAUUUGUAUUUAUAUAUAUAAAUCAUUGUUGGAACUUAUAUAUUGGUUGUUUGCAUUUUCUAAAACAUUAUUAGUUAAGGUGCAUACAACCAAUAUAUAAGUAAUUUUCUAAAGAAAUUUACUGAAAUAAAGAAUUUGAUUGGAAAAGAAAAAGAAAAGAAAAAAAAUAGAGAGGGAUUCAACUUGACGUGGGGUGGGGUGGGUGGGAGGUCCAGGAAAAGAAAGAAAAUGGAGGGAUGGAUCACUUGAAAGUGGGCGGAAGAUGAAGUGAAUUAAGAUGAAAUUAAAAUUAAAAUAAGUCAAAAAGUAAAAGAGAGAAAUAAAGAAAAAAACUUAAAAUGAAAAAAAAUACAUUUUAAUUAAAUUAACACAUGUCAUAUAAUGAUUGGUGUGUGAAUACACUUGCUUCUUAAAAUCUGGGGUUGAUCAAAAAAUGAUAUAAUAAUAUUUGUUCAAAAUUAUUUAGUGGGGUAAUAAAUAUCGUUUUAAAAAAUUCGAGGCAACUUCUAUAAUGACUUUAUGCUUUUUCUCUUAAUUUAAAUAUGUGUUUGUUUUCAUUUCUUUAUAAUGCUGCCAUAGGUAUGUUACUUGUAAAAAUACAUACAACAAACCCAAUCAAAUAAGUUACUCAUACAUUACAGACUAGUAAAAUUACCCGCACUUUGCGCGGGUAUUUAAUAUCACAAAAUUUAUAAAAUAAUACUUAAAAUUUAUCGGUCAUUAAAACUAAAACACUAUAUUAUCUUACAUACAAGAUUACGUAGUAACAAACAUUAUUAAUGUAAAGGAAAAUGAAAAUUAUAACAUCUUAUCAUUUAUCCUUAAUAACAUAAGCAUAAAUUAAUGACUGUAAAAAUACAUAUCAUGAUUUAUUACAUAAGCAAUGGUGUCAGUGCGCCACUCAACAGGAGCAAAGUACACAAAUAUUUAAUUGUGUAGAAGAAGAAGAAGAGGUUCAAAAUUUUCGUUAUUUUAAAAUGAAAGGAAAUUGGUGUGAACAAAUGUUUAUUGUGUCUUAUCGGAAAGGUUACAACUAUUUGGAAAAGUUGCAACCUUUCGGAAAUGUCACAAUCUUUCAUAAAAGUCGCAACUCUUCAUUAAAGUCACAACUUUUUAUUAAAGCACAACUCUUUAUAAAAGUCGCAACUUUUUAUAAAAGUCACAAUUUUUCAUGAGAGGGGAAUGCUAGUUUUGAAAAUAAAUAAAUUAAAAGGGAGACCUGGUUUGUGAAGGCGCCACGUAGACGGACCUAGGAUUCUCUUUUAUAUUAUGAUCAAUGGCGGAUCCAGGAUUUAGAGUCCGUGGGUGCCAAAUAGACUUAUCGAUUAAAUUAAUUUUAUAUUUGAUUAAAUUAUUUGUCUUUUCGAUAUAUAUCAUAAAUCAAUCAAUAAAAUGUAAAUAAUAAGAUAUUACACUUUUAUUGAGUAUUUAGUCAAAUAAAAGAAAAGUCAAAGGAGUAAUAAAUGUAAUUAAUUUAAUUUAAGUCAAUAACAAUUAUAAAAAAAUAAAAAUAAAAAUAAAAAUUGUGCUAGUGCUUGGAGCCUUUUUUUUUUUUCUUAAAAAACGUCAGCAUCAAAUUUCUCAAAAAAAUAGGUACAAAUGGGAUUCGAACCCGCAACAUCAACCUUCUAAAGUUGCCCUCCUACCAUGGCACCACAAGACAAUUUUGUUCUGUGGGUGACACGCUUUAUAUUUAUAUAAAAUAUUAUAUAUAUAUAUAUACCUAUGUAUAUAUAGAGUUUCUGUCGAAGUUCGGGGGUGGCGUGGCACCCCCAAACCUCUGCAUAGAUCCGCCACUGAUUAUGAUAUAUAUAUAUAUAUAUAUGAUAUGAUUUACUACCCCAAAACUUCUUCCGCAAUUGUCCUAUUGAUAAAUGAAAUUCUCAAAAUGUUGAAAUAACCACACCUACAAAAUUUAGCCAUCAAGAAACUUGAAGAAACAAAUUUAUAACAUAUUUGGAUAGAUUUAUUUUAAGUAUUUUAAAACAAUUUUAUAGCAUUUAGGUAAAAUAAAAAAGUACUACUAAUAAUUGGAGUUUAGCCGUAAGAAAAAAUGAAAAGGUUUAGAAAAUGAAAGCCUGCAGAUAAACCUCUAAAAAAAACCCAAAGCCCCUUGCGUAGACAAUUCAGUUUUUCCGACGAGCAAGACCGGAGACAAAUUCAGUUUUUCCGACGAGAAAGAGAGCCGAAACCGAAGCAUUAUCUUCGUAUUCUCUAAGCUUCUCAAUGCAUCUAACCACUACUCCUCCUCCUCAACAGCUGAAUUCAAUACAAUUAUCUUCAAAACCCCUUUUUUUCACAUUGCCAUUCAAAUGCAGAAGGAAGUUUUCCCGUAUAAGAAGACCUACCAUUGUAGCUUCUUCUUCCAAUACUAAUAACAGUCCCGAAGGGUUUUCUUGGCUGCAACUUUCACAGUCCAUUCGCCGUGGUUCCGAACGUUUCUUGAAUCAAUUGGAAGACUCUGUGAAGAAAGAGACAGGUUUUGAUUUUCAGGAUGUUAAAGUUAAAGUUGGGGAAUUUUCAGGUCGAGCUGUUGAUUCAGCCAAGAAUGGCCAAAUUUUGCUGCAACGUUUUCAGUCUGAGUUGUUUCCUGAGUUCUUGAAUUGGAACAAAUUCGAGUCCUGGAAGGUGAACUUUUGCAUUUUUUGUAUUUGAGUUAUUUGUAAAACUUUGUGCUCACAUUAUCCUUUUUCCUCCUUCCUUCAGGACGUCAAGAAAUGGGAUUCCAAAAGAGUUGGUGUCUUCAUUCUCUAUAUUAUAGUUACGGUAUGUUCUUGUCAAAAAAUAUAUAUGGCAAUUCGAGCUCCUAUUAUUAAUAGGGAAAGAAAAGAACUUACUGAGGCAUACAUGGAAGCAUUGAUUCCUGAACCUACUCCUGUUAAUGUCAAAAGGUAAAACACAAAUCAACUGCUAACUGUUUUCUUUUUUUAUGAAUACUUGAUAUUCAGAGAUUGAUAUGAUGUCAUGUUUUGAUCGGUCUGAGGUGCAUCUUGAAUUUUCUACCUUUUAUUUUGAUGAUAAAGGUUUUAUUAAAAAAAAAACCAGUUCCAAGGAAGUGUUUGAGAAACAUAAGAUAGGAAACAGAUUAUGGCUGCAAUGUCUUUGGAAAUUCUUAAGUCACUUUGUAAGCAUCCUUUAAUUUACCUAAAAAAACUUGUAGAAAUAUGUAUACCUAUGAACGGUUUCAGCUUUUCUUUCAAUACACCUACCAUUUCAUCUUUACAUAAUAUCCACAUAAUACAAGCCGGGAUAGUGUCUCAAAUCUCCUUUGCUCCUUUCGGAGUCCUUACAGAAUCAAUCAUGACCCCACUAAUCCCCAGUCCACUGUACUUCCGACCUUUUCCAAAGUUUUUAUAUCUUGUGAUGGAUUGGGGGAAUUUAAGAGGAGCAGUCUUGCAGCCUUUUCAUAAGACAAGCCUAUUCCAAAGCACGUCCCAUGAUGGAGACAAAUGAUUCUCUGAUAGUUUAAAGAUUUGAUUAGACUCUUACUUGACCAUUGAACUUUUCUUAGAUGGGGUAAAAGCUCAAUAUUUCUAGAUUUUAGUUUGAUCUGGGCCAUCAUCAUAAAAUCAAAUCAAUGCAGUUUAUGAAUAGGAGGAAACAUUUACCCAUGCCACCUUAUGCAAGUAUGUCUUGUUGCUUGAUCCAAUUGGUGAUCUAAGAUGUUUUGUAAUCUCUCAACUCCUUUCUUGGACAUGUAUUCUUAUAGAUUCAAGAAAGGUUUGUGGAGGAAGACUACCCCCAAAGGUCUAAAGUUAAAGAAGUUCAUUGAAGCAGCAGAUGGAACUCUUAUUCAUGACAGUUCCUAUGUUGGUGAAGAUGCUUGGGAAGAUGAUUCUGGCAGUCAUAAUAUGAAAGAGGUGAUAGACCAUGAUACUAGAUUGAGAGUAGAGGAUAAAGAGACUCUGAAAGAGAAUCUUGGAAUUUCAGGUGAGUUUUGUUAUUAGCCUUGCAUUAUUUUUAAGUACGUAACGAUCCUCCUCCAUCAUUUUUCCUUCAUUCUAAAAAAAAAAGAUGCAGGAGAAUUUUAUAGUAGUAUUUUAUCAUCUUUGAAUUUAUUUUUAUUUUAAAAAGAAUAAGCUGCACUCUGCAAGCUCAUUUUUUGUAUUUUCAUGCUCCCCCAAGUAAUGGUAAAACUUUUGAACGGGUGGACUUUCCCUUUUAUUUUUGGUUUGGGUGAAGGGGAGGGGGGAUGUAUAUUUACCAGUAUUCUAAAAGGCGAGUGAAGUUGGUCGCAGUCCCAUGUAUUUUCAUAAGCAGGUUGAAAAGUUACUGCAAAGUCAUGAUACAAGUAGAUGUGAUGCCGUGUAUCAAUUAGAGGGCAUUUUUUUUUUUCUGUUUUUUUAAAAGCAGCUGGACAAAAGAACGCUGUUUGUUGUCACCGUUUAAGAAAACACGAGUUAGAAAUUUUAAACUUCUAUAUUAAAUAUGAAAACUAUAUUAAAAGUUAAAAUUUUAUUAUAUAGACUAUUACAUAAAUAAUUCAAUAAAUUUACACUAACAAAGUAAUUUCAUAUAUUAUGUUAAUGAUAGGUUCCUUUUUGCUGCCUAUUCCACUUUUGUAGUUCUUGCAUCCACUGGAUGCUUUGUUAUUAAUAGUUUAAUACAACUCUUACUUCAUCAAAAAAAAAAAAAAAUUCAUAUAAUACGUUAAUUUUUUACUUUUAACAGAUUUAAUAAUUUAUUACUCUACCUUACUUAAAAAAACUCCACUAAAUUCUUUUACAUAAUUUAACAAAAGAAACUUGUAUAAAGUAUAAACAUAAAAAGAUUUUGAAAAAAAUAUUUUAAAGUGAAAUAUCAAUUGUUUAGUGUCGCCUCUUCAUAAGAGGCUCAUUAGCAGGAAAAGUAUUCCUUAGAACCUUGAUGACGACAUUGAAGCUCACAUUAAGCGAGGAGAAACGCUAAACAUGUUUUGAGCCUUGCUUCAGGGCUUAAACGCACCUCUGACAACCCUGGUUGAAUAGUACAUAAUUUAUGUUUCAAGCUUUGGGAAAAAUAUUUUUGCUGCCAAAAAAGUAUUUUGGACAUAAGUCUUCAAACUUCUUCAACCGGGUAAAUAUCAUUCUAACUUUCUAGUAUUACCUUUUGCUUUGUUAUUUUAGUUAUUUGACUUUGCAGAUAGUUUUAAAAUAGUUGUUAGAAUUUUAAUAUGUCAACUAGAAAAUAUGAAUUCAAUUAACAAAGCCUCUCAUUCAAUUUUUUUAAAAGAAGUUUAAGGCCUCCUGUUCAGUUUUGGCUUUAGGCCGCUAAUGUUCUUGAGCCGCCUCUGGUUGGUUAAGUAUGUAUUCAUGCUUCAUAAUAAAAUGCAUAAAUAACUAGUGUCAAACGUUUCAUUGUAUGUUUUGCAUGGUACAGCUCAACUUGUUGGUAAGUUUGCCAGGCAGAGAUGUAGUAAAUCGAGUUAAGCUCAGAAUAUAGCUGAAAGGUAUGAAGGAAAACCAAUUAAGCUAGAACUGAUCUGAUUACGUUCUUGAGGUUCCCAGGAAGCCCUAAUUUUAUAGACUUCAGUGACCAUUUAUCGUAAAAAAAAAAUUUAAGUUGCCAAGUGAAUCCAAAUUAUGUUAGUAGUCUAUUUAAGCAUUUCUUUUCCUUUUUUUUUGCAGCUGAAAAUCAGGAUAUGGGAGGAACAUGGCGUGCAAGACUUCAAGAAUGGCACAAAAUUCUUAGGAAGGAGAAGAUGGCAGAACAAUUAGAUUCAGUAAAUGCGAGGUAUGUGGUUGAAUUUGACAUGAAGGAAGUUGAGAACAGCCUUCGCAAAGAUGUGGUUGAGAAGACAAGAGAAACUCAAGGAACCAGGGCAUUGUGGAUCUCGAAAAGAUGGUGGAGAUAUCGCCUGAAACUUCCGUAUAUCUAUUUUCUUCAAAAACUUGAUACUUCUGAGGUAAAUGUUUCACUUUCUCACUUCUGUAUCUCUUCAUACUCAGAUAUGGUUGGUCUCUUCUGGUUCUAAUGCUUCCAAGUGGAAAUAAGUGUGGAUGCUUUUAAAUCUACAGUAUUAAUGCAUACAUGGUACAUUUUAAGGAUUGUACUUCAAGUUGUGGCAUGGGUGACAUGAUGCCACCCUAUUCUUCAUUCUUUUUUUUUUUUUGAAAAUGGUAACGAUGUAUUAUAUCACAAAAGUACAUGGGUUGUACUCAAACCUUAUAUACAGAUGCACUCUAGACACUCCUACUCUAUUUCUAUAUUGAGUCUAAAACAUCAACUAUAGAGGCAGUGUCAUUUGAGUAUAAUUGAUUACACCAAAAACAUAACAACAAAAUGCAGUUUAGUUUAACAUCCUGCACACUAUUUUCUAUGCCUUCAAAACAUCUGGAAUUCCUUUCUUUCCAGAUUGCCCACCAUAUUGAAGCAGGGAUAAUUCUCCAUCUAGUUCUGUCUUUUGCAAGGGCACCUGCCUCCUCCCAGCUGUACAAGGCCUCAGUAACUCUCCUAGGCAUAGUCCAGGAUAUGCCUUUAAGGCUCAAGAAAAUCCUCCAAAGCUGCCGGGUGUAUUUGCAGUGUAGAAAUAGAUGGUCUACAAGUAGCAUUUCAUAUUGAUUGUAUCCUCCCAAACCUCCAACACACCUCAUCUUUACCUCCUCCUCCCAUAGUAUUAGUCUAUAUUAUAUACAAAUGCUUUUAGUAUAGUAUAUUUUGCUAAGUACUAUACACAAGAAAAUAAGUUACAAAUCCACUUAUUUCCUGGAAAACUAUUUCCUUCAUACCAAACACACCCGAAAUGUUGAAUUUGGGAUGUAUGAGAUGGAUCCAAAUAGAGUGAGAUGGAUAUAAAGUAUUCAUACUCCAAGUUCAACUAGUUAGGGAAUAUGGUGGAGUUGAUUGAAGUGUGGUGAUUACUUGGGAAGUUUCAUCAUUCCUCGACAUACAAAACUGGAUUUCCCACGAUUUAAUGGCCAAGAGGACCCUUUGGGAUGGUUGAACAGAUGUGAACACUUCUUUCGACACCAACAAACUCGGGAAGAAGAAAUGGUUGGACUUGCUUCUUUUCAUUUGGAGGGCAAUGCACAACUUUGGUUUCUUCAACUAGAGACUGAACUACCUCAACUGUCUUGGGAUGACUUCAAACGUCAUUGUAACCUUCGUUUUGGGCCACCAAUCAGAAGUCAGAAAUUGGGAGAAUUGGCUAAGCUACGCCAGAUCGGGUCUGUGGCAGAUUACCAAGAAACAUUUGAGCAGUUAAUUUCGCGGGUUGGUACACUCACAGUCACAAAAAAUUGAACUUUAUAUCAACGGUCUUACUAAUUAUAUAGCAAUUGAGGUUGAGUUGCAUAAUCCUCCAGAUUUAGCUAUGGCAAUGAGUUUAUCCCCAUUUUAUGAGCGCAAGGAAAAACUCAUUUGUUCGCAAUUGUUAGAUGCUUGCACAUCAAAGACAAUAGAUUUUUCACCUCAACAAUAUGUCAGAUUUGUGAAGAAACUGACCAGAUCUGAAAUGGAGGAAAGGCGACUUAAGGGACUUUGUUUCAACUGUGAUGAACCAUUCGCUUGAGGUCAUCAGUGCAAGAAGUUUUUCUAGAUUGACUCUAUAUACAAUGAGGAAGAAUUUGUUAGAAAAGGGGGAACUACUAAUAUUUUCCACACUUAGCGCUUGAGGGAAAGCGCGCUUUGAAGAGGGGAGUAAUGUUAGCACUCCUUUUAGUCUACCAAUGUUUUACACAUGGAAGAUUUAAGGAAAUUAAGUUUUUUAUUUUUUAUUUCUAUUUGCAGUAGAUUACUACAGCUUUUUUUUUUUGAAAAUGGUAACGAUGUAUUAUAUCACAAAAGUACAUGGGUUGUACUCAAACCUUAUAUACAGAUGCACUCUAGACACUCCUACUCUAUUUCUAUAUUGAGUCUAGAACAUCAACUAUAGAGACAGUGUCAUUUGAGUAUAAUUGAUUACACCAAAAACAUAACAACAAAAUGCAGUUUAGUUUAACAUCCUGCACACUAUUUUCUAUGCCUUCAAAACAUCUGGAAUUCCUUUCUUUCCAGAUUGCCCACCAUAUUGAAGCAGGGAUAAUUCUCCAUCUAGUUCUGUCUUUUGCAAGGGCACCUGCCUCCUCCCAGCUGUACAAGGCCUCAGUAACUCUCCUAGGCAUAGUCCAGGAUAUGCCUUUAAGGCUCAAGAAAAUCCUCCAAAGCUGCCGGGUGUAUUUGCAGUGUAGAAAUAGAUGGUUUACAGUUUCUAAGGUUUCCCCACAUAGGAAACACCUAGAGCAUAAGGUUAUCCCCCUUUUCAUUACAUUAUCCUGAGUCAGGGCAGCUUCCUUAGCUAGCAGCCAAAUAAAGCAUGAGACUUUGUGUGGGAUUCUACACUUCCAUACUUGUUUCCAAGGCCAGAUGGGACUCUGCUGGCUUGAUUCAUCCAUCAGCCUGUAAGCUGAAUGCACUUUGAACUCUCCUCUAUUGUUGCCUUUCCACCAAAGCAUAUCCUCAUAUGCCUGAAGUCCAGUAAAAUGUCCAACCAACUUGAGGAAUUCUGCCAACCUCAUCACUUCCCAGUCAUUUGGUUCUCUCCUGAAGAUGAAAUUCCACCCUUGUGGUGUCCAUAGUUCUGCAAUAGUUCUUUGUUGGAACAUUGCCAGAUUGUAAAUAUCAGGGAAAAGAGUUUCCAGGUUACCUUUCUCAUGCCAUUCAUCCUUCCAGAAUUUGAUUUUGUUCCCAUUCCCCACUUUCAUCUUGAAUUUGGGUUUAACUUCCUCCCAUAAUGCUCUUAUGGAUCUCCAUAAACUGAUCCCAUAAGGUGUGGUCACAAUCUUAGUCAUCCAACUAUCUUGAUUCUCAUAUUUGGCACCUAUCACUCUUCUCCAAAGUGUUUGGUUUUCAUUUGAGUAUUUGCACAACCACUUCAUUAAGAGUGCUUUGCCAUGUAGCUCCAUAUUCUUUAUUCCCAGACCACCAUUCUUCUUUCCAGUUGUCACUGCAUUCCAUUUUACUAGAUGAAAACCUCUAUUCUCUUUGUUUCCUUGCCACAAGAACUUCCUUCUUAUGCUGUCUAGUCUUUUAGUGAUCCCUGGUGGGAUGGGAAAUAGAGACAGCAUGUAAGUUGGGAGAGCAUCUAGGACUGAGUUUAUGAGGGUCAGUCUACCCCCUCUUGACAAGUACUGAGUUUUCCAUCUGGCCAGCUUCUUCUCACACUUCUCUAUCACACCAUUCCAAAUUUCUAAGGACUUGGAUUUUGCUCCCAAUGGCAUACCCAAAUAUGUUGUAGGUAGAGUACCUACUUCACCCCCUAAAAUUGAAGCUAAUAAGUCUAUGUUGUUGACCUCAUUGAUAGUAUACAUAGAACUUUUAAUCCAGUUAAUGUGCAACCCGGAUACCCCUUCAAACAACACUAGGAUCACCCUUAAGUAUUUCAGUUGGUCUUCCUCAGCUCCACAAAAAAUCAGUGUAUCAUCUGCAUACUGAAGAUGUGUCACCUCCAAGCUUUCUGUAUUUUCUCUAGCCACAUCAAAACCUUUUAUCCAUCCUCUCAUAUUUGCUGUCUUGAGCAUAUAUUCAGCCCUCCAUAGUAAUUAAGAACAAGAAAGGGACAAUGGAUCACCCUGCCUGAGUCCUCUUUGAGUUUGAAAAAACCCUGCUGGGGACCCAUUAAUCAGAACAGAGAAGCUUACUGUAGAAAUGCAGAAGCUAAUCCAGUUCAACCAUUUUUGUCCAAAUCCCAUCAUCUCUAAAAUCUUCAGAAGGUACUUCCAAUUCACAUGAUCAUAUGUUUUUUCUAUGUCCAGCUUGCAUAGAAUGCCAGGUUCUUCUGCUUAAUCCUGGAAUCUACAGCUUCAUUAGCAAUCAACACUGCAUCCAUAAUUUGUCUCCCUUUUUAUAAAAGCCAUUUGCUGUGAGUCCACCAGUCUGUCUAUCACAACUUUCAACCUUCUUUUGAAUGAUGUUAUAAGGGAAAAUAGCAAAAGAUAGAUUUUUUAAACAAAACAUUUGCCUUUGCUUGAACUCUAGCUGGAAACUAAAAUUCUCUGGUUCAUGUGGAUCAAACUAAUUUAUUAUCUUUACUCGGAUAUGGACGCACUUCCAACUAGAUUUACUGACUUAGUGUUCUGCAGGUGGCUGCUAUAGUCUUCACAGAGGAUCUGAAGAGAGUGUUUGUCACAAUGAAAGAAGGAUUCCCUCUUGAAUAUAUUGUGCGUAAGACAUAUUAACCUUUCCAGAAUAAAGUCUCACUGUUCCUGAACUCCUGACCUUUAUACUGAUUAAUAUUUUCUCCUCUCAGGUUGAUAUUCCACUAGAUCCUUUCUUAUUUGAGAUGAUAUCAAGUUCUGGAGCUGAAGUAGAUCUACUUCAGAAGCGGCAGAUUCAUUACUUUUUCAAAGUUCUUUUUGCUUUAUUGCCUGGAAUACUGAUUUUGUGGUUUAUAAGAGAAUCUAUGAUGCUUCUGAACAUCACGACAAAUCGCCUCCUCUAUAAGAAAUAUAAACAACUCUUCGAUAUGGCUUAUGCUGAAAAUUUUAUUUUGGUAACUUUUUAUCAUCUAAUACCAGUCUCUUUUAUUUUUUCUGAAUAUUUUGAAUCUACAGUCACCUUUUAACUCCUAUUCCUUGCCUACUUAGCCAGUUGGAGAAGUUGGUGAGACGAAAUCGAUGUAUAAAGAAAUAGUAUUGGGAGGAGAUGUUUGGGAUCUUUUGGAUGAAUUGAUGAUUUAUAUGGGAAAUCCAAUGCAAUAUUAUGAGAAAGAUGUCAAAUUUGUGCGGGUAAACUCAAUGAUCCUUUCAAGACUUGCUAAAACUAUAUAUUAUGCAAAUCUUGUUCAGUAUGAUUCAUUUAAUGCACUGCAGGGUGUGCUUUUGUCUGGCCCCCCUGGAACAGGUAAAACACUGUUUGCUCGGACACUUGCAAAGGAAAGUGGGAUGCCUUUUGUAUUUGCUUCUGGUGCAGAGUUUACUGAUAGUGAAAAGAGUGGUGCUGCACGAAUCAAUGAAAUGUUUUCUGUUGCUAGGAGAAAUGUAAGUCUACUUCAUCUAAUAAAAAAAUUGACAUCAUAUAGGGAUGGGAAUGUUCCUCAAAGUAAAAAGUUUGCAUCUUAUGAUUUCUGUACCGAAAGCAGCUACCGGUCAAAAGUUAAAGGGAGGGGGGGGGGGGGGGGAGGUGAUUAGACACGACAUGGUAGAAGGUAAGUAGGUAACUGAGGGGGUGGAGGGGGCAGAAGAACUGGGUGUCUAUUUUCUUACAAUACAGUGUCGGGUACCUUUAUUUUGAGCCGAGGAUCUAUCAGAAACAGCCUCUCUACCUUACAAAGGUAGGGGUAAGGUCUGCGUACAUCCUACCUUCAUUGUUGGAAAUGAAAAAGAUUACAGUUUCAGAAUUCUUAAUCUGGUUUUCUUUUCUGUUCUGCAGAAGUAUAGGCUUUACUUGAAAAGGAUCAAUUCAGUUCAAACCCAACAAGCAAACAUGGUUGCCGCAUUAGGGGGAAGGGACUAUGUGCGAAUGGGCUCACUGGAUGGGCUUGGAGAUUUUCGAACAUUGGGUGGAUCAGGACGGUAUACUCAUGCUGCCUUAUCAUCGUACAGUUCAGGGGGCAUGCUUGGCAGACUAAAUAGUGCUGCUGGUCUGAGCGUGCGCAACCUGGCAGCAUCUCAGCUACUCCAACCUAGUCAUGGUCAAAAUUUGAGC